rnacentral:rRNA from 1 species
GUGUCAGCAGCCGCGGUAAUACAUAGGGUGCAAGCGUUGUCCGGAAUUAUUGGGCGUAAAGAGCUCGUAGGUCGUUUGUUACGUCGGAUGUGAAAACCUGAGGCUCAACCUCAGGCCUGCAUUCGAUACGGGCAAACUAGAGUUUGGUAGGGGAGACUGGAAUUCCUGGUGUAGCGGUGGAAUGCGCAGAUAUCAGGAGGAACACCAAUGGCGAAGGCAGGUCUCUGGGCCAAUACUGACACUGAGGAGCGAAAGUCUGGGGAGCAAACAGGAUUAGAUACCCUGGUAGUCCAGACCGUAAACGGUGGGCACUAGUUGUGGGAACCUUCCACGGUUUCUGCGACGCAGCUAACGCAUUAAGUGCCCCGCCUGGGGAGUACGAUCGCAAGAUUAAAACUUAAAUGAAUUGACGGGG